GGAGGUGGCAAGCGUUGUUCGGAAUUACUGGGCGUAAAGGGCGCGUAGGCGGCAAGGCAAGUCAGGUGUGAAAGCCCCGGGCUCAACUCGGGAACUGCAUCUGAAACUGCUGUGCUUGAGUCCUGGAGGGGGUAGUGGAAUUCCCAGUGUAGCGGUGAAAUGCGUAGAUAUUGGGAGGAACACCGGUGGCGAAGGCGGCUACCUGGACAGUGACUGACGCUGAGGCGCGAAAGCUAGGGGAGCGAACGGGAUUAGAUACCCCGGUAGUCCUAGCUGUAAACGAUGGGCACUUGGUGUCGGGGGUAUUGAGUCCCUCGGUGCCGGAGUUAACACGUUAAGUGCCCCGCCUGGGGAGUACGGUCGCAAGACUG
rnacentral:rRNA from 1 species